GAUGAACGCUGGCGGCGUGCCUAAUACAUGCAAGUCGAGCGAACAGACGAGGAGCUUGCUCCUCUGACGUUAGCGGCGGACGGGUGAGUAACACGUGGAUAACCUACCUAUAAGACUGGGAUAACUUCGAGAAACCGGAGCUAAUACCGGAUAAUAUAUUGAACCGCAUGGUUCAAUAGUGAAAGACGGUUUUGCUGUCACUUAUAGAUGGAUCCGCGCCGCAUUAGCUAGUUGGUAAGGUAACGGCUUACCAAGGCGACGAUGCGUAGCCGACCUGAGAGGGUGAUCGGCCACACUGGAACUGAGACACGGUCCAGACUCCUACGGGAGGCAGCAGUAGGGAAUCUUCCGCAAUGGGCGAAAGCUUGACGGAGCAACGCCGCGUGAGUGAUGAAGGUCUUCGGAUCGUAAAACUCUGUUAUUAGGGAAGAACAAAUGUGUAAGUAACUAUGCACGUCUUGACGGUACCUAAUCAGAAAGCCACGGCUAACUACGUG
rnacentral:rRNA from 1 species